AGCAUUGUAGUUCAGUGGUAGAGGACUUGCCUAGCAUGCAAAAGGCCCUGGGUUUGAUCCCCAACAGUGCAA
rnacentral:tRNA from 1 species